GUUUUGGAAGAGGUAUCGUGCAAAAUGGCUUGCUUUGGUUUAUAAUUUCAUGUAUUUGGCAUUCUUAGCUAUGUAGAUCGUGUUGAUGGAUAUUUCUUACAUACAUUGACAUGGUUGGAGUUAUUCUAGGAACUUCGUAAUGCGAGGUCAGCAUUUGAAGAGGCUCGUUUUAAUCUACCAAAAAGCGAUUUGAGUUUUUGGAAGCUGUCAGUGAGACUAUGGAUGCACAUCUUCAAUACUUCAAACAGGGCUAUGAAUUAUUGCAUCAAAUGGAGCCAUACAUUAAUUAGGACCAGCAAGAAGAUGAGGAAAUGCUUGUGCCACUCUAUGAUUUGACCGACAUUGACCAGCCCAUGGAAGUUGUAUAUCAAACCCGGACUACAAAUACUGUGUAAAAUCAACCAAUGAAGGUUCCUCCUUUAUCAAGAUUCACUUGGAAGAUUGAUAACUUCUCUAGGUUACACAAAAGGAAGCACUGUUCAGAUAAUUUUAUCCUUGAU